rnacentral:lncRNA from 1 species
GCACGCUGUAAAUAACCACCGGUGGCCAGGCCUACCCCCGAGGGCAGCACUGUCUGAUUCCAGGCUGCUGCCGCCACCAAGCAAGGACAUAGGCACAGCUGCCGCACAGACUCUGGAGUGCCCACCUGUUCUGGUCACCACCAGGGCCUCCGCAGAGCCUGGAACGGUGCUCGGCACACAGCAGCAAGAAUCUUCCAUUGAGAUAAUCCAGAGAGAUGAUGAGGGAAACCUACUACAGCCACGUUACUGCCCAGGAGAUCUUGGAUGUCUGACAACUUCUUUCAACCUCCGUUUGCGCACCCAGCAGUGGGGAGAACCACGGCUUCUACUUUCAGAGAGGAUUAGGCAUAUAAAACAGAGGCACAGCAUCUAAAGCACCAGUGGUUGGUGAGGAUAGGCUAGCACAGCCAUCGCACCUAUUUCAGAGAUUUAAAAACUGAGUCCCGUUUGCCCAAGGGAACUGCUACAGUGGACCGAAAAUUUCAGCGCAGUUCUCUGGGGUCCAGUGUUGGUUUCUAAGAGGUACAGCAUACGUGUGUCAAGGUCCCCCUGAGCCCACAUUUCCAGAUCCCAUUUCCACAAGAUACUGGGUACCUUGCCCAAAGCAACCCUGCUACUCCACAACUGUAAUAAGAUUAUCACUGGCUCUCCGCGUCUAUACUCACUGAAUAGGAAGAUGUCAGUAAAGUGCUACGUCUAUAAAAACACACAGAACCCAUUCACAACCAAUGCAGCUGGGCAUGAUGGCACAGGCCUGCAAUCCCAGCACUCAGGGAGGCUGAAGCAGGAAGAUCACAAGUACAAGCCCAGCCUGGGCCAACUGCCAACUUAAGACUGUCUCAAAAUAAAAAACAAAAACGUAAAAAAGGGCUGGUAAUGCAGCUCAGUGCAAGGUGGUGGGUUCCAUACCCAGUAUUUCCCCGCUCCCCAAAACAAAGCUGUCAAUAAAUGCUCUUGAUGGUGCUUUAAAAUUGAAGACAGCCUUGAAGUCAAUGAUAUUUACUCACCAAUCUGGACUACGCUUUUAUGCUUGGCGAAUUGCUAAUGGCUCUGACCCUCUUGCAAAUUAUCCCAGAUUAAUGAGUUUAUUUGACUUAAGCACAACGCAGAAUACAGGAGGAGGCUGCCAUGGC